rnacentral:rRNA from 1 species
UGAUCCUACGGGGGGCAGCAGUGGGGGAUAUUGCACAAUGGGGGGAACCCUGAUGCAGCGACGCCGCGUGGGUGAAGGAGUGCUUCGGCAUGUAAAGCCCUCUCGGCAGGGAAGAAGCAAGACGGUACCUGACUAAGAAGCCCCGGCUAACUACGUGCCAGCAGCCGCGGGAAUACGUAGGGGGGGCGCGUUAUCCGGAUUCACUGGGGGUAAAGGGAGCGUAGACGGCCAAGCAAGCCAGGGGUGAAAGCCCGGGGCCCAACCCCGGGACUGCCCUUGGAACUGCAUGGCUGGAGUGCGGGAGG